ensembl:misc_RNA Metazoa_SRP Metazoan signal recognition particle RNA
GCUGGGUGUGGUGGCUCACGCCUGUAAUCCCAGCACUUUGGGAGGCCGAGGUGGGUGGAUCACCUGAGGUCAGGAGUUCCAGACAAGCCUGGCCAACAUGGUGAAACCCCAUCUCUA